rnacentral:lncRNA from 1 species
ACCAAUUCUUUGAGAUAUAGAAGAGACUCAUUUCUACCCAGUAGGCCCGAGAGAAAGGAGGGAGCUAUCUGACCCUCCACCGCUACAAUAAUUUGAGCCACCCUUGUAGCAGGAAAAUCUGGAGUUACUCCGGUACAACCCUGCUCCUCUAUUGUACCAUUCGGCACUGCCACAGUACAAUCUAGUACCUCUACUGCAUCAUCUGGCUCUGCCACAGUACAAUCUGGUGCCUCCAUCGUAUCAUCUGACACCACUACAUGGCCACCCAAUCCCUUCCCAGCACAAUCUAGUCCAUCUUCCACGGGAACCAGUUUCACUUACGAUAGACCCAGACUACAUUGAAAGAUACAAAAAACUAAACUCAUUUAUCAUUACAGGGGCAUCCUCUUUUGAAGAGCCCAAAUAUUAGUUAGCUGAGACAGAGAAGGCCUUCGUGACUCUUG